AAAGUCGUAACAAGGUCUCCGUUGGUGAACCAGCGGAGGGAUCAUUACCGAGUUUACAACUCCAAAACCACUGUGAACCUACGAUAGUUGCUUCGGCGGCUGCGCCCCGGGCGCCCUCAGGGGCGCCCCGGACAGCGGCGCCCGCCGGGGGACCCAAACUCCAGCCUCGUCAGCGUAUCUUCUGAGUCUUCUAUAAAUGAAUCAAAACUUUCAACAACGGAUCUCUUGGCUCUG
rnacentral:misc_RNA from 1 species